rnacentral:rRNA from 1 species
GACGAACGUUGGCGGCGUGCUUAAUACAUGCAAGUCAACUGAAGCAGUGGUAGCAAUAUCGCUGUGGAGGUGGCGCACGGGUGAGUAACACGUAGGUAAUCUGCCUUCAGGUCUGGCAUAACUCCGGGAAACCGGGGCUAAUAGCAGAUGAUGCAGCGGCUCGACAUCGAGACAGUUGUUAAAGCUAUGGCGCCUGAAGAUGAGCCUGCGUCUGAUUAGCUAGUUGGCGGGGUAACGGCCCACCAAGGCAACGAUCAGUAGCUGGUUUGAGAGGAUGAUCAGCCACACUGGAACUGAGACACGGUCCAGACUCCUACGGGAGGCAGCAGUAAGGAAUAUUGCUCAAUGGGAGAAAUCCUGAAGCAGCAACGCCGCGUGAGGGACGAAGGGCUUUUGCUUGUAAACCUCUGUAGUGAGAGAAAAAAAUCCCAAUCUUUGGGACAUGAUGGUAUCUCAAAAGUAAGCCCCGGCUAACUACGUG